rnacentral:lncRNA from 1 species
UCUCUGCCGCCCAGUUACAAAAAGUGGCAACUUCCCCUCCGGCCCGCAGACUGAUCGCUCAUUUGAAUGCGUUUCCUUUUCAUUAAGAACAAAGGUUGGAGUCCGAGCCUCGCGGCGCGGCGGCCGGAAAGUACAAGAUGUGUGUCGAGAGCAAACACACACACACACACACACACAGAAUGACCCACGAGAAAGGGAAAGGGGAAAACACCAAUCCUGCGCUGGGCUUUUUCGACUUUUCCUUUAAAAAGAAAAAAGUUUUUCAAGCUGCGCGGGCUUCCUGUGCGCGGCUGAGCCGGGGCGCAGCGCGACGGUCCCAUCGGGCGGCCUCCACCCUCGGGACGCGAGCGGAGCGCCGAGCCCAGCGGCGAUCACGCGACGCGGGGAAGGAAGGAAGGGGACCAAAGCACGUUUAGUAAUGACUUCUGCUGCAUGGAUACUCGUGUGACUACCACUUCACUUUCAUAUAUCUCCUAAGACACAGCUGGACUCAGUGAAUUCAUUUCCUCUAUCGCCAGAGAGAGUCAGA